GACCUCAGAUCGGGUGGGACUACCCGCUGAACUUAAGCAUAUCAAUAAGCGGAGGAAAAGAAACUAACAAGGAUUCCCCUAGUAACGGCGAGUGAAGAGGGAAAAGCUCAAAUUUUGAAUCCGACGUCUUCGGCGUCCGAGUUGUAAUCUAGAGAAGUGUUUUCCGUGUCGGACCGUGCAAAAGUUUCCCUGGAACGGGGCGUCAUAGAGGGUGAGAAUCCCGUAUAUGGCACGGACUCCCGGUGCUCUAUGAUACACUCUCAACGAGUCGAGUUGUUUGGGAAUGCAGCUCAAAAUGGGUGGUAAAUUCCAUCUAAAGCUAAAUAUUGGCGAGAGACCGAUAGCGAACAAGUACCGUGAGGGAAAGAUGAAAAGCACUUUGGAAAGAGAGUGAAACAGUACGUGAAAUUGUUGAAAGGGAAGCGUUUGAAGUCAGUCACGUCUGUCGGGAUUCAGCCUGGCUUCUGCCUGGUGUACUUUCCGGCUGACGGGUCA
rnacentral:rRNA from 1 species